rnacentral:rRNA from 1 species
UACGAAGGGGGCUAGCGUUGCUCGGAAUCACUGGGCGUAAAGCGCACGUAGGCGGAUUGUUAAGUCAGGGGUGAAAUCCUGGAGCUCAACUCCAGAACUGCCUUUGAUACUGGGGAUCUCGAGUCCGGGAGAGGUGAGUGGAACUGCGAGUGUAGAGGUGAAAUUCGUAGAUAUUCGCAAGAACACCAGUGGCGAAGGCGGCUCACUGGCCCGGAACUAACGCUGAGGUGCGAAAGCGUGGGGAGCAAACAGG